GAAUGUUUGUUGUUAUAAUCAGCAGGUGAUCAACACUUCCUUUCACUGUGUGUCUGUGUUUAUCGACGUAUUUGCUAUGACCUUAUGUUUUUUUUGUGGAUAAUGGAUAAAGGAAAUGAAAAUUUGGAUUUUUACGACAAUCUAUAUUUUUAAAUAUGUUGGCCAAAAAAAAAAAAAAUGAAGAAUGAUAAUGUCAUCUCUUUGGAUUUCAUUCCAUCUGUUGAUAAAACUAUUGUGUGUCUGCUUGAUGUGUAUACGUGACAUUUUUAUGACAUAUUGGUAAUGAUCACGAUGUGACGGACUGGCUGAUCUAUAACAAUAUAUAUUUAUUGUUAUUAUGGUCAUUCAUCAUUAA